AUGCCUCCAAUACAGACAUGUAUCUAUGUAUCAGUUACAUUGGUUGCAAUGAAGUUACAUUUUCAGCCUAUUGCUCCUAUAUACUUCCUUGCUCUCUCUGACAAUCACAAUUAUGACCAAGUUUCGGUGUUAUAUUUACCAGCCCUUUCCAGUUUCCUGAGCCAUCCUGCAUCGCCGCCCUUUUUGCGGACAACUUCUUCCAGCGCAGCUCUAACAUCAGCAGGCAUUUUGGUAGACGACCCCGCGACGUAUACUGCGGCACCAGAGCAUAACAUGUUCAGCACCCUUGCGCUCUGCUCCCUUAUCUUGUGUUGCACAUACACCUUCUCAGGCUGA
rnacentral:rRNA from 1 species